rnacentral:rRNA from 1 species
GAUUGCCCCAGUAACGGCGAGUGAAGCGGCAACAGCUCAAAUUUGAAAUCUGGCCCCAGGCCCGAGUUGUAAUUUGCAGAGGAUGCUUUUGGCGCGGUGCCUUCCGAGUUCCCUGGAACGGGACGCCAUAGAGGGUGAGAGCCCCGUACGGUUGGACACCAAGUCUUUGUAAAGCUCCUUCGACGAGUCGAGUAGUUUGGGAAUGCUGCUCAAAAUGGGAGGUAUAUUUCUUCUAAAGCUAAAUAUUGGCCAGAGACCGAUAGCGCACAAGUAGAGUGAUCGAAAGAUGAAAAGCACUUUGAAAAGAGGGUUAAACAGCACGUGAAAUUGUUAAAAGGGAAGCGCUUAUGACCAGACUUGCGCCCGGUGAAUCACCCAGCUCUCGCGGCUGGGGCACUUUGCCGGCUCAGGCCAGCAUCAGCUCGCUGUCGGGGACAAAAGCUUCGGGAACGUAGCUCUCUUCGGGGAGUGUUAUAGCCCGUUGCACAAUACCCUUCGGCGGGCUGAGGUACGCGCUCCGCAAGGUUGCUGGCGUAAUGGUCAUCAGCGACCCGUCUUGAAACACGGACCAAGGAGUCAACCUUAUGUGCGAGUGUUUGGGUGUCAAACCCCUACGCGUAAUGAAAGUGAACGCAGGUGAGAGCUUCGGCGCAUCAUCGACCGAUCCUGUUGUUCUCGGAUGGAUUUGAGUAAGAGCAUAUAGGGUUGGACCCGAAAGAAGGUGAACUAUGCGUGUAUAGGGUGAAGCCAGAGGAAACUCUGGUGGAGGCUCGCAGCGGUUCUGACGUGCAAAUCGAUCGUCAAAAUAAGCG